rnacentral:rRNA from 1 species
UACGAAGGGGGCUAGCGUUGCUCGGAAUCACUGGCGUAAAGGGUGCGUAGGCGGGUCUUUAAGUCAGUGGUGAAAUCUCCGGGCUUAACUCGGAACUGCCGUUGAUACUAUCAAUCUGAUCUCGUGGAGGUAAGCGGAAUAUGUCAUGUAGCGGUGAAAUGCUAGAUAUGACAUAGAACACCGAUAGCGAAGCAGCUUGCUACACGAGUAUUGACACUGAGGCACGAAAGCGAUGGGAU